GGGCAUGCAAAUUCGAAAUGAAAGCCCGGAAACCCCGGAACUAGAACUGAUCUCUUCAACUACCUGUGAAAACUGAUGUGAUGAAAAGGGGAAUUUGAAGGAGCCAUUCCAGAAGACAGGGCGAAAACUGAAGUGCAAUCAGGGCCAAGAAAAACAGAAAUAGCAGGACCUGGAGUUGCAUAGGUUGAAUAGUUGAAUAGGCUGCUCUCCUCAGCUGGCAGGAAACCUGGCAGCCUCCUGGUGCCCAAGGACUGAAAACCUUAGAAGCACCUGGAGUUGGCAGCCUUGGCAUGGUCAGGUUGGCACCUCUGGAGGUGCCCAGGCUUCCCUGGCAGCAUUGUGAGCAGUGGAUGGUGUUGAAGGGCAGCCAGAGGAGGAAUGGAACACAUGCUCCUUGCUAACCACACGGACAAGGCCACGUUCACAGGUACACAAAGGCAACGCAGUUGCUCAGGUGCUUCGGUAUCACAGCCAAGACCCCUUCGGGGGAAGCUAGUCGGAUACUGGGACCCACAUUCCAGACUACUGAGCCGCGGUCGCGCCCUCGGCUCCGUUUCUGCUCCCUCCACCCCACGAGGACGGGGGUGGAAGGCCACCUUCGAUGGGUGCAUCCUCCACGAUGACCUGCUAACAAAGGUGCAUGGAUUUCAGAGUCUGAUUGGCCUACAACAGCAUUUGGCUUGUGGAGACAGUGGUUCCCUGAUGAAAAACUGCCAUGAUGUAAGGAAGAGCCUGUCAGAGCGAGGCUGGGGUGCUGCGUGUUGGGGAGGUGGAGGUGUGGCUUCCCGGGAGAAGCUCCACCCGCUGGCUGAGUCUGGCACAUAAACCAGUCUGUGAGGGGAUGGAUGUGGGUGUAAUGGGGGCAAUUACAGUAGGAAGGAGCCCACGUGGAGCCUGCAUUCUCUGGGACAGGGCAUUACUGCAUUCUCUGGGACAGGCUAAGGCCCAGAUCCUACCUUCCCAGGUGGCUGGAUGGGUCAUAGAUGUAUGAACCGGUCCCCUCAUUUUCUGAUUGCCCUGUGCUUAACGUUUCUGUACCUUUACUGAGGCUCUUUCCUCCAACUCCAGUGCCCAGACCCCCCUUCUCCUGAACAUGAAUGCCUGUCCAUGGAAAUUCGAGUCUCUCUCUCUCACCCAGGCUGGAGUGCAGUGAUGCAAUCUCAACUCACUGCAACCUCUGCCUCCCAGGUUCAAGUGAUUCUUGUGCCUCAGCCUCUGGAGUAUCUAGGAUCACAGGUGCGUGCCACCAUGUCUGGCUAAUGUUUUGUAUUUAUAGUAGAGAUGGGUUUCGACAUAUUGGCCAGGCUGGUCUUGAUCUCCUGGCCUCAAAGUGAUCUACCCACCUGGGCCUCCCAAAUUGCUGGGAUUACAGUUGUGAGCCACCACACCCAGCCUGUCCCUGAAAUUCUAAUGAAAUGUGCGAUAAA
ensembl:lncRNA LINC00910 long intergenic non-protein coding RNA 910